AGUGAACGCUGGCGGUAGGCCUAACACAUGCAAGUCGAACGGCAGCACAGUAAGAGCUUGCUCUUACGGGUGGCGAGUGGCGGACGGGUGAGGAAUACAUCGGAAUCUACUUUUUCGUGGGGGAUAACGUAGGGAAACUUAAGCUAAUACCGCAUACGACCUACGGGUGAAAGCAGGGGAUCUUCGGACCUUGCGCGGUUGAAUGAGCCGAUGUCGGAUUAGCUAGUUGGCGGGGUAAAGGCCCACCAAGGCGACGAUCCGUAGCUGGUCUGAGAGGAUGAUCAGCCACACUGGAAGUGGGACACGGUCCAGACUCCUACGGGAGGCAGCAGUGGGGAAUAUUAGACAAUGGGCGCAAGCCUGAUCCAGCCAUACCGCGUGGGUGAAGAAGGCCUUCGGGUUGUAAAGCCCUUUUGUUGGGAAAGAAAAGCAGCAGGUUAAUACCCCGCUGUUCUGACGGUACCCAAAGAAUAAGCACCGGCUAACUUCGUG
rnacentral:rRNA from 1 species